rnacentral:rRNA from 1 species
UAGAGUUUGAUCAUGGCUCAGAUUGAACGCUGGCGGCAGGCUUAACACAUGCAAGUCGAGCGGUAACAGGAAUAGCUUGCUAUUUGCUGACGAGCGGCGGACGGGUGAGUAAUGCUUGGGAAUAUGCCUUAUGGUGGGGGACAACAGUUGGAAACGACUGCUAAUACCGCAUAAUGUCUACGGACCAAAGGGGGGGAUCUUCGGACCUCUCGCCAUUUGAUUAGCCCAAGUGAGAUUAGCUAGUUGGUAAGGUAAUGGCUUACCAAGGCGACGAUCUCUAGCUGGUUUGAGAGGAUGAUCAGCCACACUGGGACUGAGACACGGCCCAGACUCCUACGGGAGGCAGCAGUGGGGAAUAUUGCACAAUGGGGGGAACCCUGAUGCAGCCAUGCCGCGUGUGUGAAGAAGGCCUUCGGGUUGUAAAGCACUUUCAGUUGUGAGGAAAGGUGUGUAGUUAAUAGCUGUAUACUGUGACGUUAACAACAGAAGAAGCACCGGCUAACUUCGUGCCAGCAGCCGCGGUAAUACGAGGGGUGCAAGCGUUAAUCGGAAUUACUGGGCGUAAAGCGUUCGUAGGCGGUUGAAUAAGCAAGAUGUGAAAGCCCAGGGCUCAACCUUGGAACUGCAUUUUGAACUGUUCAACUAGAGUACUGUAGAGGGGGGUAGAAUUUCA